UUUUGAUUAUUUUUAUCAUAUAUUUGAUUUUAUUUGAGUAUCACUCUUAGCACGGGUUUAUUUAAUAAAAUAGAAUUAUAAAAGAAACUUUCUUUAUUAUACAAUAAAAACAAGGAUAAUUCUGAUAGAAUAGGUAACAAGUAAAGAAGGAAACAAGGAGAAAUGCAGAAAAGGAAAUCUUCCUGAAAUGCAAACAAAUCAUCUCCAUUUCCCUAAACCCCAACCCAAAGCCUAAAACCACAUCUUCUUUCUAUUUCUCAUUCAUUUCAAAAUAAAUAUAAACACUCUUCUCCUCUCCCCAUCAUGUAAUUCAUCGUCUCUUCUCUUCCUCUCACUAAAUUUUCCUUUUUCUUCUCUUCAAUUCAAAAAUGGAGGAGGAAUUGCAGAAGCGUAACACUGAUUGCGUCUAUUUCUUGGCCUCUCCUCUCACAUGCAAGAAGGUUCCUACCCUUUUCUUUUCUCAAGCAUCGGCUCACGAAUUCUUGCCGCUUUUUUUUUUAUAUAUAUAGUAAAUUUUCUGUUUUAAUUUUCUUUUUUUUUAGGCUCUGCAUUUCUUGGAUCUUUGCAUUCAAUGAAUUAGGGUUUCUAUGUCAUUCAUUUUACCGUAAAUUUUUAUUAUUUCUUUGUAUUUGCUCACUCUAAAGCACUGAGAGAUGGAUUUCACAUUGGACUGAAUUUUUAGUAUCAUCGACGUUCGGGAUUUCUUUUUAUGUUUGGAGUUCAGGUUUUGUGCUUAUUUCUUCCAUUUGGGAAGAUUCAUGCCUUCAUUCUAUGUUCUUUUGUUAUAGAAUAAUCUCAUAGCUUUUGUGUGCUUGUCUUUUUUUUCCUAGGGAAUGGAUUGUGAGUACCGGCACAAUGAAAUUGCAAGGCUUAACCCUAGAGAUUGCUGGUACUGGUUGGCUGGAAACUGUCUUAAUCCAACCUGUGGAUUUAGACAUCCUGUAAGCAUAUAUUCUAAUCAGUUCUCUCUAUGUGUCUCUCUGUGUGUAUAUGUGUUAAUUAGGAUUAGGAUUCAUUGAGUUUGUCUGUUUAUUUGAUACGAAUUGCCUAUUUAAUUUCCAAAUGCUGGUGUUCACUUCACUCAUAUUUUCAAUUGGGAAUGAACUUGUUAUGUCACUUUCUGUAUGAAAAUGUUGGAUUGUUUUACCGUCCAGCCCCUUAGGAAUAAUAUAUUCAUGAGUUUUGUUUUUCAAAUUUGUGCACUCGUUCUAUGUGGCUGAGGCUUACGUACUCUAGGAGGCUUUCAGUUUAUGCUGGGUUAAAAAAAAAGGAUAUGAUGAGGGAACCUGCAUUUUUUAAAUUAAGUGUACCUUUUAGUUAUAUACUUUUCAUAGUUAGGAUUGUCUUGUAGAAAUCACUAUCAGGACAUAAUUUCCUGUGUUUGACUGUUUGUUAUUGCCUUAUUAAAAGUUGGAGUAGCCAAGGAUGUCAAAGUGAGUUUAAUAUAAUUUGUUUGAAGUCCUUUGCCUUUUUAUUUAUUUAUUUAUUUAUGGGUUGGGGGUGGGCACUUGUGUUCGAAGCUCCAACUUCUCGAAAGGAUGCAUAAAGGACUUGAUGAGGGUUGUAAUAAAGCGUAAAGGUGGUUUGAUAAAAGAGUGACUAUGCAAUUCAAUGUGAGACAAAGUGAAUACAUUUUUUGUUGCUGGGUAUGAACAAACUUAGAUUUUUCAGAAACAAAAAGCCAAAACUUUCCUUUCUUGAAAUGAGCGCUCUCAGCUUAUAUUUCAUCAAUUGAGAAAACUCUCUUUCUUUCUUUCCCUCUCUCUCUCUCUCUCUUCCUUUAUUUCUUGUUUCCUCUCACCACUCAAGCCUCUCUUCAAGACAAAGUACGCCUCUUUCUCUCUCCCUGUCUUCUCUGGGUCUUGAACAAGUCCCAGAGACUCGCGGGUUCAUAAAGAAAUGCAGAUUGAGAGACAGCUGUAAAGGGCAAAAAGUCUCCCUUACUCUCUUUUUAGUCUCUCUCUCUGUCUCUUUAUUUUCUUUGAAAUUGCAACAGCCAUUUAAAAGAGGCUGAAGAUCAAUAAUUUGGAAAAGAUUCUUGGGUUUUGGUGGGUUUUUGAUUCUUUAACUUAGAGACUUGUGAGGAUGUUUGGGUGUGAUUGUUUUUAUUGGAGCCAAGUUAAUGAAUUCUACUUUCCAGAGCCUCAGCCUUUCUCUUUGCCUGCUCCAAUUCCACAGUGGCCUCAAGGUCAAGGAUUUGCUACUGAAAGAAUAAACCUGGGAGAACUAAAAGUCAUCAAAAUUACCCAAUUUGAGAGUGUCUGGAGCUGCAGCCUCUUGCAUGGAAAAAAGAAUGGAGUCACAUUUUAUAGGCCUGUUGGGAUCCCUGAUGGUUUUUAUUGCCUUGGCCAUUACUGUCAGUCUAAUGAUCAACCAUUGAGAGGCUACGUACUUGUGGCUUGUGAUGCCAACACCAAGAAACCAGAAGUUGGCCAUCUCCGUCAACCAAAAUCAGGCUUCCCAGCUCUAAAACAGCCCCUCAACUACUCAUUGAUUUGGAGUACUAAUUCACAUGAUGAUGGUUCCGGUUAUUUUUGGCUGCCAAACCCCCCAGCUGGUUAUAAGGCUAUGGGUGUUGUGGUCACUAACAAGCCAGAGGAGCCUAGUGUUGAAGAAGUGAGAUGUGUUCGAGCAGAUCUUACAGAAAAAUGUGAAACUUGUGAUCUAAUAAUUUCCUCUGAUUCAAAAACUUUCAAGAACCAAUUUCAGAUCUGGAACACAAGACCCUGCAAAAGGGGAAUGUUUGCUAAAGGUGUUCCUGUUGGGACAUUCUACUGUGGUACCUACUUGAGUUCUGAAGAUGACCUGCUAGAUGUUGCCUGUUUAAAGAAUCUUGACAGCACCCUACAGGCAAUGCCAAAUCUGGACCAAAUUCAUGCACUCAUUAAGCAUUAUGGCCCUACUGUAUUCUUCCAUCCUGAUGAAGAUUACAUGCCAUCAUCAGUACAGUGGUUCUUCAAAAAUGGAGCACUUUUGUAUCAAGAUGGCAAGGAUGAGGGUCAACCUAUUGAUUAUAGGGGUUCAAACUUGCCUAAUGGAGGUCAAAAUGAUGGGGGAUAUUGGAUUGAUUUGCCAAAUGAUGAUGAUGCAAGAAAUAAUAUCAAAAGAGGAGAUUUAGAGAGUGCUGAGUUUUAUAUUCAUGUGAAACCAGCACUCGGAGGAACUUUCACUGAUAUUGCAAUUUGGGUAUUUUGUCCCUUCAAUGGACCAGCCACCCUUAAAGUUGGGUUAAUGAAUAUACCUAUGACUAAGAUUGGGCAACAUGUGGGCGAUUGGGAGCACUUCACUCUUCGUGUAAGCAACUUCACAGGAGAACUAUGGCAAGUCUUCUUCUCUCAGCAUAGUGGUGGCCAAUGGGUGAAUGCUUCUGAUUUGGAAUUCAUUGAAGGUAAUAGGCCAAUUGUUUAUUCGUCAAAACAUGGUCAUGCUAGUUUCCCUCAUCCUGGUACUUACCUUCAAGGAUCAACAAAGCUUGCAAUUGGAGUGAGAAAUGAUACUGCUCGAAGCAAAUACUAUGUGGAUUCAAGCACAAAGUAUCAGCUUAUUGCAGCUGAGUAUCUUGGAGAUGGAGUUGUCAGAGAGCCAUGUUGGCUGCAAUUUAUGAGAGAAUGGGGUCCAAAAAUUGUCUACAAUUCAAGGAAUGAGCUAGAUAAGAUCAUUAACCUUUUGCCUAUGAUGCUUAGAUAUUCUGUGGAGAACAUAUUUUAUAAGCUUCCAGUGGAGGUUUAUGGGGAAGAAGGUCCUACUGGACCUAAGGAAAAGAAUAAUUGGGUGGGAGAUGAAAGAGGCUAGGUAAUGCAUGCUGUCAUCUCUCUUGUUCCUUCACUGCUCCAAUUACAUUGUUAGAGAAUCUUUGAAUCCCAUGGCUUGUACUAUUUAUGUAGAUGUCUCAUUAUUGUAUAGGAAUUUUUAAGAUAUCAGUAUUGGUUUCCUUCUAGUUAAAGUUGUUUCUUAAAGGGGAAGAAGAAGUUAGCAGAUUUGUAUGGUGGAUAGAGGUCUGGAAAAUGAAGAAGAAGUUAGCAGAUUUGUAUGGUGGAUAGAGGUCUGGAAAAUGAAGAAGAAGAUCUUAGCUACCCAUUUAUGCUGUAAUGGGCAGAGUGUUCAGUCCUAUAGUGAUUUCAG
rnacentral:misc_RNA from 1 species